rnacentral:rRNA from 1 species
UACGGGGGGAGCAAGCGUUGUUCGGAUUUACUGGGCGUAAAGGGCGCGUAGGCGGCCAGCACAAGUCAGUUGUGAAAUCUCCGAGCUUAACUCGGAAAGGUCAACUGAUACUGUGCGGCUAGAGUGCGGAAGGGGCAACUGGAAUUCUUGGUGUAGCGGUGAAAUGCGUAGAUAUCAAAAGGAACACCUGCGGCGAAGGCGGGUUGCUGGGCCGACACUGACGCUGAGGCGCGAAAGCCAGGGGAGCAAACGGG